rnacentral:rRNA from 1 species
AGAGUUUGAUCAUGGCUCAGAACGAACGCUGGCGGCAGGCUUAACACAUGCAAAGUCGAACGCCCCCGCAAGGGGGAGUGGCAGACGGGUGAGUAACGCGUGGGAACGUGCCCUUCGGUUCGGAAUAACUCAGGGAAACUUGAGCUAAUACCGGAUACGUGCGAGAGCAGAAAGAUUUAUCGCCGAAGGAUCGGCCCGCGUCCGAUUAGCUAGUUGGUGAGGUAAUGGCUCACCAAGGCGACGAUCGGUAGCUGGUCUGAGAGGAUGAUCAGCCACAUUGGGACUGAGACACGGCCCAAACUCCUACGGGAGGCAGCAGUGGGGAAUAUUGGACAAUGGGCGCAAGCCUGAUCCAGCCAUGCCGCGUGAGUGAUGAAGGCCUUAGGGUUGUAAAGCUCUUUCGCCAGGGACGAUAAUGACGGUACCUGGAUAAGAAGCCCCGGCUAACUUCGUGCCAGCAGCCGCGGUAAUACGAAGGGGGCUAGCGUUGUUCGGAUUUACUGGGCGUAAAGCGCACGUAGGCGGAUUUUUAAGUCAGGGGUGAAAUCCCGAGGCUCAACCUCGGAACUGCCCUUGAUACUGGAAGUCUCGAGUCCGGGAGAGGUGAGUGGAACUGCGAGUGUAGAGGUGAAAUUCGUAGAUAUUCGCAAGAACACCAGUGGCGAAGGCGGCUCACUGGCCCGGUACUGACGCUGAGGUGCGAAAGCGUGGGGAGCAAACAGGAUUAGAUACCCUGGUAGUCCACGCCGUAAACGAUGGAUGCUAGCCGUUGGGGAGCUUGCUCUUCAGUGGCGCAGCUAACGCUUUAAGCAUCCCG